rnacentral:rRNA from 1 species
UACAGAGGUGGCAAGCGUUGUUCGGAAUUACUGGGAGUAAAGGGCUUGUAGGUGGCCAACUAAGUCAGACGUGAAAUCCCUCGGCUUAACCGGGGAACUGCGUCUGAUACUGGAUGGCUUGAGUGUGGGAGAGGGAUGCGGAAUUCCAGGUGUAGCGGUGAAAUGCGUAGAUAUCUGGAGGAACACCGGUGGCGAAGGCGGCAUCCUGGACCAUUACUGACACUGAAAAGCGAAAGCCAGGGGAGCAAACGGG